rnacentral:rRNA from 1 species
AUUGAACGCUGGCGGCAUGCUUUACACAUGCAAGUCGAACGGCAGCACGGGAGCUUGCUCCUGGUGGCGAGUGGCGAACGGGUGAGUAAUACAUCGGAACGUACCCUGAAGUGGGGGAUAACGUAGCGAAAGUUACGCUAAUACCGCAUAUUCUGUGAGCAGGAAAGAGGGGGAUCGCAAGACCUCUUGCUUUAGGAGCGGCCGAUGUCGGAUUAGCUAGUUGGUGAGGUAAAGGCUCACCAAGGCGACGAUCCGUAGCGGGUCUGAGAGGAUGAUCCGCCACACUGGGACUGAGACACGGCCCAGACUCCUACGGGAGGCAGCAGUGGGGAAUUUUGGACAAUGGGCGCAAGCCUGAUCCAGCCAUGCCGCGUGCGGGAAGAAGGCCUC